UGCCAGCCGCCGCGGUAAUACGGAGGGUGCAAGCGUUAAUCGGAAUCACUGGGCGUAAAGAGCACGUAGGCGGAUUAUUAAGUCGGGCGUGAAAUCUCCAGGCUCAACCUGGAGGCUGCACCCGAAACUGGUAAUCUGGAGUCCCGGAGGGGCAGACAGAAUUCUCUGGUGUAGCGGUGAAAUGCGUAGAUAUCGGGAGGAAUACCGAUGGCGAAGGCAGUCUGCUGGACGGUGACUGACGCUCAGGCGCGAAAGCAUGGGUAGCAAACGGGAUUAGAUA
rnacentral:rRNA from 1 species